UGCCAGCCGCCGCGGUAAUACCGGCGCCUCAAGUGGUAGUCGCUUUUAUUGGGCCUAAAACGUCCGUAGCCGGUCUGGUACAUUCGUGGGUAAAUCAACUCGCUCAACGAGUUGAAUUCUGCGAGGACGGCCAGACUUGGGACCGGGAGAGGUGUGGGGUACUCUCAGGGUAGGGGUAAAAUCCUGUCAUCCUGAGAGGACCACCUGUUGCGAAGGCUCCACACUAGAACGGAUCCGACGGUCAGGGACGAAGCCUAGGGGCACGAACCGGAUUAGAUA
rnacentral:rRNA from 1 species